rnacentral:rRNA from 1 species
AUACGUAUGGGGCAAGCGUUAUCCGGAUUCAUUGGGCGUAAAGCGCGCGUAGGCGGCUUGUUAAGUCAGGCGUGAAAUCCGGGGGCUCAACCCGCGGCUUGCGUCUGAAACUGGCAGGCUUGAGUCUGGUAGAGGAAAGUGGAAUUCCUGGUGUAGCGGUGAAAUGCGCAGAUAUCAGGAGGAACACCAGUGGCGAAGGCGGCUUUCUGGGCCACGACUGACGCUGAGGCGCGAAAGCUAGGGGAGCGAACAGGAUUAGAUACCCUGGUAGUCCUAGCCGUAAACGAUGGGCACUAGGUGUGGGGGGUCAUCGACUCCCUCCGUGCCGAAGCUAACGCAUUAAGUGCCCCGCCUGGGGAGUACGGCCGCAAGGCUAAA